rnacentral:lncRNA from 1 species
CAAAAGGACUUUUUGUACCUUUUCGCAUGGACUGGCUCAUAUACAAACAGAAGAUAAGAAAUAAAACCACAACCACAAACGACAAGACACAAAACAAUAUCCGAUCAGAAUUUAAAAAAAACCUCAGUAAGGGAGCUACCAUUUGAUUUUUAUGGGGGGGGGCUAGGAUGAAAUUUGAAAAAAAAUAGGCAGGACAGGAGUUUUGAGUAAAAAAAAAGGCAGGAUGAGACACUUUGCAAAAAAAAAAGGCAGGAUGACAAUUUAGGUAAAAAAAGUCAGGAUAAACUAAUAAAAAAAAAGGCAGGACCGAAUAGAGUGAAAAAUAAAAAGGCAGGACAGAGAUUACAACUAAAAAAAAAAAUGCAGGACAAAAUUUUUCAUCCUAGCCCCCCCCCCCCCCCC